rnacentral:rRNA from 1 species
GAUGAACGCUGGCGGCGUGCCUAAUACAUGCAAGUAGAACGCUGAAGGAAGGAGCUUGCUCUUUCCGGAUGAGUUGCGAACGGGUGAGUAACGCGUAGGUAACCUGCCUGGUAGCGGGGGAUAACUAUUGGAAACGAUAGCUAAUACCGCAUAACAGUAGAUGUUGCAUGAUAUCUACUUAAAAGGUGCAAUUGCACCACUACCAGAUGGACCUGCGUUGUAUUAGCUAGUUGGUGAGGUAACGGCUCACCAAGGCGACGAUACAUAGCCGACCUGAGAGGGUGAUCGGCCACACUGGGACUGAGACACGGCCCAGACUCCUACGGGAGGCAGCAGUAGGGAAUCUUCGGCAAUGGACGGAAGUCUGACCGAGCAACGCCGCGUGAGUGAAGAAGGUUUUCGGAUCGUAAAGCUCUGUUGUAAGAGAAGAACGAGUGUGAGAGUGGAAAGUUCACACUGUGACGGUAUCUUACAGAAAGGGACGGCUAACUACGUG